rnacentral:misc_RNA from 1 species
UUGAUUCAUUUUUUUUGACUCGGAUGUCACCGUGAGCAGAGUUUAGAUGGUCCUCUGACGGGCACUCUCCAGCCGAAGCCGGCGGCGCCUAGGCACCUGGCCCGCCAAAGCAACAAAGAUAAGUUCACAAAGGGUGGGAGUAGGCGCCCAGAGGGCACCGGUACUCUGUAAUGAUCCUUCCGCAGGUUCACCUACGGAAA